GACAGAGGAUGCAAGCGUUAUCCGGAAUGAUUGGGCGUAAAGCGUCUGUAGGUGGCUUUUUAAGUCCGCCGUCAAAUCCCAGGGCUCAACCCUGGACAGGCGGUGGAAACUACCAAGCUGGAGUACGGUAGGGGCAGAGGGAAUUUCCAGUGGAGCGGUGAAAUGCGUAGAUCUUGGAAAGACCACCAAUGGCGAAGGCACUCUACUGGGCCAUGACUGACACUAAGUGACGAAAGCUAGGGGAGCAAAUGGG
rnacentral:rRNA from 1 species